GGCAGGAACUGUUUCUCACUGGUGUGCCAACCAGGCUGCGGUCCCCAGGUUGAGGCGUCUCAAGGAUCAAGCCCAGAGCGGGCUGAGAACGAGCUGCCUUGAAGCGGAGGAAGGGGCAGACAUUUGUGCAAGGGACCCUUUUCCCGGGAUGUAAAAAGAUGCGGCCUGGGGGGAGAAGGGGGCAAUGCAAGGGCUCCUCCUAGGUGCAACCCUCCCUCCUCUGCUGUGCAGAGGCAAGAAAUUACGGAGCCCACCUCUGGUUGAGACUCUUCCAUGGAGAUGGUGGUGUGGCAGCGCAGAUAAAGCCAGGGCUGUGCUGAAGGACAGGAGAUGGGGUUGGCUGCUCAGGAAGCCACAGCUCCCUUCCCAAAGCUGUGUGUGCUGAUAAGAGGGCCCGGGCAGCCCCACCGCUGGCACUGCUGCCAGAGCAGCGCCUGGUCCUCGGGCAGGAGGGAGGCAACGUGGCAGGAGAGCAAACGCUGGAGGGUCCACGGCGGUGAGGGCAGCCAUGCCACCCCGGCGGAGCCGGCACCGCCGUGAGGAGGCACGUGAGCCAGGGUCUCCCUCCCACGGAGGAGGAUGAGGGAGGAGCUGCGGGGCUCGGAGGGCUCCCAGAGGGUCUGGUGGGAGAUGCCAGGUCUGCUGCGAACGGUGCUUGCGCGGGAAGAAAGGCGACGUGUAGGUGCAUGCCUGCCUGUGCCCACACCUCCCGGCUCUCCC